CAGCAUGCUAUCCUAAGGACCAGCGCUUGACUGUAGCUCUAGGUUCUCCAAGUGCAUGCAAGAGAAUUGGGUGGUCUUUGACUGUUGUGGCCCCUUCGUGCCAUCAGCAGCCACUCUACUGUCCUACAGAG